rnacentral:SRP_RNA from 1 species
CCCGUCGGGCGACGGUCAUACUGUGAACCCCGCCAGGUCCGAAAGGAAGCAACGGCAGCAGCGCUUGCCGGGUGCCCGACACGCAA